UAUAAACUGUCUUCCUAGGAGAACUGGGAAGUAAUCCCACUCCCCCAUAAUCCCCACAGGAUAGGACUUCUCAUGUCAUGAUUCACAUCAGUGACAGGCCCCUGUUGCUCCCUCUUUCUGCCCGUCACUAUGGCCUCAGGAGAAACAAGCACAUCAUGAGAAGAAGAGUUUUAGAAUACUCCCAAAUCUGAUUUUCAUGUUUUCUCUGACUCCUUUGUUCCUAUGCAAACCAAGCCAAGAAGAAUCACUGAGGAACCACCAGACACCCACAGAAUGCCAAUGGAAAGAGCCUGGUCCUACUUCAACACGGACUAAGAGUUUUUAAAAUCCCUCAGCGGAGAGGGCUUUUGCUAGAUGUGUUUUAGUUUAUUGGCGAUCCUAUGCACCAGGCCCAUUUUCCCUCUUUGUUUGCCUAUGUUGACAGCAAAAGCAGCUUAGUGCAUUGAACGACAGACAGUCCUUGUGUAAGCCUGAAUAAGAACUAUCAGCUU